rnacentral:rRNA from 1 species
GUGUAAGAAGAGACCUAUUAAGGGGUGGUGACGGAGUGUUAGAGGAGGCAAGGGGUAAGAGAGGUGGUGUUGGUCGCGAGGGACCAGUCCAGCGGGGGAGGGGAAGCAGUGGUGGCGGCCGCGAGGGACCAGUCCGAUGGGAGGGGAAGCAGUGGUCGCAGCGGCGAGGGAUCGUCCGGCGGGGAGGGGAAGCUUAGUCUAGUGUCUUCACCGGCUCCUCCAGGAGCUCGAGCCGUACGAGCGCGGUCACGAUCCGCGGUAACCUACGCCUGCGUCUCCGAGCCCUGAACGUGCGGGAUGAGAUGGGACAAGGAAGGUUAGGCCGGGGCUUCACGAGCUCCUCCGCGAGCUCCAGCCGUACGAGUGGCCGCUGCGACCCAGGGAGGUAGGAGGACCAAGGGAGCGGUAGCGGUUCUACUCGGAGAGGUGGGAGAGGGCGCGCUAGCAGGUCCAGGUCCAUUAGAGAGAGAGGGACUGGGACGGCAUACGAGGAGGGGCAGUUAAGCCAAUCAGCGGUCCACGUAGCGGAGUGACUCUAUAGUGGUACUUAUAAGGAAAAGUUCUGACAGGUAUAAAACAAGACAAUUUCCCGAAACAAUCUUUUAGACUAAAUUGACUCAUAAUAAGACGAGAUUUAACGCCGGGGAAGACCAACACUCACCUAGGUUCUCAAGUGUACUACGUCAUAGAAAAACUUUCUACUAUGUAAUAGAAGUAUUUUCUUUCCUUCAACCUCCUCAAUAAUAACUUCUCCCUAAGUCACCAUACACGAAGAGUUCUCGAUUUGACCUUGUUCUUCACGUACUGAGAGUACGGAUGUGAUUGAUUAGUCUGAAGGGCUUCCUCUUCUUCCUCCACGCCUUUCUCCUACCCUCGUUGUUUAGACUUAGUUUCUCACCUAUAAAAUCGUCAAGUCGACAGGUUUUCUCUUUUACUCAACGAAGUCGUCUUUUGGCUCCAGUGCUCUUAUCGCUGAAGUGACUUUGACCGAAGACUUCUACGAUCCUCUUAACAACUGCUUCUUGCUUGAUUACGUGCGUACCUCUAACUUUUACGAUCUCGACGACAUGUUUCUCAAGUUUUUCAUGAAGUUCUCUUUCUCUUGUCAAGUGUUUCUUAACCUUUCGUCUUCUCCUUCUAGAUCUUUAAACGUAUGGAUCUCCUUGAGCGGAAGAACUACGGGGAACGAAUGUCUUCCAGCUGUAGCUGACUCAUGCUCGCCGGGAUACAGUGUUCCCCCGCACCUUGACGACGUCGGGUAGAUACUGUCUCGUCUGAGGACGCUUAAACGGGUCGAUCCUCGGCACUGGGCCGGAGUGUCCUUCCCGGUCCCGCUUCUGCAUAGGGGCUACCGGUUCUGUGCCGGUGCCACCACUAAAAACUACCACUCUGUCUCGUCUGAGCUCGCUGAAACGGGUCGGUCCUCGUGUAUUUUCUAUUAGUCGCAAAUAAGCGAUCGACCUUAAUUUCCGUUGUCGCUCUCUCGUUCUAGUUCCUGUUGAAGUUUUAAAUUCUUAUAUACGUUCUUUACCUGCACUUCGUUGUAAAUAUUGGUUAGAGGCCUGUCAUAAUAUGGACUAAGGCAGCUCAUCUGCAAUAGUUGUUAAAGUCGAUGCCCAUACUACGAGCGUAACACAAGACGUAGUGAAGAGGGCGAACAUUCUGGACCUUCUGUAAUACGUAGGACAGUAUAUAAGUCCAGAGCGUUGAUUUGCUUUUGUACCAUCCAACGUAGUAUGGACAUCAAUGCAGUAGAAGUCCAACUACAAGCGGUUGGCACGAAAAACUUAAGGGGUAUACGUUGAUAACUUACCGUUUUUAGUACUUCUGUCUUUACCAUCAAUAAACUACUGUAAGACCUUCCCAAUAACAAGUUGUAUAAUAUAUGACGUUGGACAACGAUCGUAUAUGACGUUAACAUAAAAUAAGAUGUAUUUAUGACGUUACCGUGAAAGUAGAUGUAGAAGAUGUAGAGACAUGAAAGAAUCUUACGUUCACAAAAACAAGAUAGAAGUCAAGUCGUGUUCACCUUUGUAUGAGAUCCCAGGACAUACCAAACACAAAAGAAAAAACGGUAUAAAUAUGUUCACGUCCUACGUCCUAUGGGGAACCAUAAAAAAAACGGUUAACGGUAGACAUUUGUACACAUGAACUCAGAUUUGACACAUCUUGUCUUUAGUUAGAGCGUCCGCCUAGGUAGGGACACUUUCGUGAACGGUACCGACAUACUGUACGCUACCUACAUACCCGACACUCUACAUACUCUACGCUAACAUACCGUAAACUCUACAUACUCUACGCUAACUGCAUACUCUACCAAACAUAUGGAUAAAAAGCCUAGGUCCUGCACAAGACCGGCCUAGGACCUGCACACGCGAAUAGGAGCAGGUCCUAGCCGCGACCUAGGACCUAGUUCCCGCUCCUCAAGUCGCGCCGCCGCUUCACUACCUCCCGCCGCCGCUGGACUAGGUCCUGGGCGCGGCCUAGCAGCUCCACAAGUCGCGCCGCCGCUUCACUACCUCCCGGCGCUGGAACAGGUCCUAGCUGCGCCUACCUCCUGCCGCUCACUUCGCCCCGCCGCUGGAGCUGGUCCUACCUCCCGCCGCUCCUACCUCCCGUCGCUGACUUCGCGCCGCCGCGUCCCUACAUCCCGCCGGUGCUUCCCUCCGGAGCGAGCUCUUGUCCUGAGCAGCGACCAAUUGGCAGCAUCCAAAAAAAAACAGCGUCCAAUUGGAAGCAUGCAGAAAACUCCCAGCGUACACCUAUCCACGCCCAAGCCCGGAGUCCUCCUCCAAAAAAGCCAAACACUACAGAAUCAGUCUCCACCCUCCUCCAUGGUUUUAUUUGGCACCCUCCACCCUGAUUUUUUUUGGACCUUCGCUCUGAUGGUUGACGAGGGAAUCCUCAUCUCUAUGUAGGCAUAUAUCAAACGUCACCUUUAGAUUUUUUCGAAUAUAAAUCCUUGCCUCCCUCAGUCCAGGCCGUGCAUGCUGUGAUCAAUCCAGAAUCACCCGCAGCUCGUACGUACGUACGGAUCGCUCCUACAAAACCAUCAGAAUAAUUUUUUGCAAAAUAUAAUUUGUCUCUAUCCUGAAAUGAUCCAAGUAACGAACUGACGACCUACUUUCCUCGACUCGCUGGUGUCUAGGUGGGUGGUCGGAGCAGCAGCAAAGGGAGAGACGAGGGUCGCUCCCUGGUGCCAUUAUCAGCUAGAACUUAGGGUAUAGACAAACACAUCUAACACGACACGGAAUUGAAAAACUAACUCCUCAGGUGUCCCUGCCCGAGCCCGGCAUGCACCGUCGCUACGGGGCCGCCGUCUGCCGCGGCAAAAGAAGCGAAGGACGACAGGGUAGAUCCACGCGAGGUUAGAGCGGCCUGCGGUACGACAGAUCGAUCGGCCAGUGGCGAAACACCCACCUCGCCCUCAACCCCUAGAUCUAGUCCUAUUAAGACACCAGCCAAGGUCGGCCGGUAGUGCUGCUGCUGCGAGCGUCCACGGCUAUAAGAAGAACCUAUGUAGCAAGACCAGGCAGGAUGGAAAAGGCUGAAGUGACGAAGAGCCCACUUUUGGAAUUGACGCCACCCGCCGCUGUUGAGAGUUCGCGGCACAGAAAGCACUUCCAGAGCGGCACUCUCGAAACACUACCACCUGUGACAAAUCCAAGCAACCAUCCACAUCUACCGCACGGGAAGAAGGAGAUACCCCGUAGUCAGGGCCCCCUUUGGGAUCUAGACCCAGAGGGUCUAGCCUACUAUUGCCUCUGAUGCCACAGCAAAAGGGAGGACUCCCGUAACAAAACUUCGUCUCCAAGUGACCUCCCCGGUUGUCCACCUCGCCAAGGUAGAUGGCGCAACUUCUACCGCCCAGAGCCGCCGAACCUCGUGACCUCAGAGCCGCAACCUGCACCAAACUACCUGCGCGCGUCCGACCACCACAACGGACCGCAACACCACUGCAGUUAUCGUCUACCCAGACCGUUCCAGAUACGUUACUAGGGAGGACUUCCACCCUGCCGCCUUCUACCGCCGCCGCCUAGGAUCUCGCACGCGUACGCCACGUACAACACCUUGCGGAUCUAGCCAACCACGAUAAUUGAACGGUCAGUCCGCUGAAGAACUCCAGUAACCUAUUCUACCACAGGCAACUACGCCAGCCCCGUGUAGAAAUAUAAACAUACACAUCGCUCAAACAAGCAGAGCUUCCAUUGAAAUCAAACUAGAAACAUAAGUAAAACAAUCUGAGCCAACUUAUUGAAUUAUUUCUACUAACGUACGUAACUACGUUUCCGACCC